UUAAACUAGGGAUUAGAUACCCUAUUAAUCUAAAUAAAGAGGUUAAUUACUGAGAGAUUAAAUGAAUAACAUUAAAUUUAAAUAAUUUGGCGGUAUGUAUUAAUGUUAGAGGAAUUUGUUUGUUAAAUGAUAAUCCACGUUAGGAGGGUCUUAAUGAAGUUUUUAUGUAUUGUUGUUUGUAUAUAAAUUUAGAAGGAGAAAAUUAGAGAUUUAUAAUUUUAAAAUAAUUCAAAUCAAAAUGUAGAAUUAUUAAGGAACUGAAUGAAUUACAAUUUAAUAAAUUAGUAGAUAUAUAUAUUUAAUUGAUAUAAAUUGAAAGAGGAUUUAAUAGUAAAUUUAUAAAAUUAUAUAAAUUGAAUAAUAAUUUACAUAUGUACAAAUUGCCGAUCAUUU
rnacentral:rRNA from 1 species